rnacentral:rRNA from 1 species
AUUGAACGCUGGCGGCAGGCCUAACACAUGCAAGUCGAGCGAGCGGCGGACGGGUGAGUAAUGUAUGGGGACUGCCCGCUAGAGGGGGAUAACUACUGGAAACGGUGGCUAAUACCGCAGACUGUCGGAUAACCCAUAUGGGAUUAGCUAGUAGGUGAGGUAAUGGCUAACCUAGGCGAUGAUCCCUAGCUGGUCUGAGAGGAUGAUCAGCACAACUGGGCCUGGGACACGGCCAGGAUCCCUCCGGAGGCAGAAUGGGGGAAUAUCGCACAAUGGGCGCAAGCCUGAUGCAGCCAUGCCGCGUGUAUGAAGAAGGCCCUAGGGUGGUAAAGUACUUUCAGUCGGGAGGCGUUACCGACAGAAGAAGCACCGGCUAACUCCGUGCCAGCCGCCGCGGUAAUUC